UAAAGAUGUAUGCUUUACUACAACUUGAAAAAUCCAACAGGGUAGAUGAUAAACGUAGUGGCAGGGUAUGUAGAUCCACAGAAGUUAAAUGAUCUUGUAACAUUUCAUAAAACUGGGGAUCUGCCUGGACCUUCAAAUGGGGAGGAGGUGUGAUGAGAUGCUGUCGCUGAACCAUACAGUGCCUUUCUGUAUUAAACUGUUCUUAAGGUGACUAUUUCACAUUGAUGAGGUUGCCCUAGCUAGAAAGCCAAGGCUCUUUCAAUUCUUUCUGGCCCUCCCCUUUGCCUGCCUUCGACGCCAAGGAGAAUGGUCCAGCAGCAUCUCAGCCCAUGAUUGUCAAGCGCCCACUUCCGUACACUCCAUAAACCCCAAGGUUCCUUGUGGGAUUCCUCAGCAACACCAAUGCACUGACCGUCACUCUGUGUUCUCCUAGAUUCUGAUGAAGAUCUGCAUGCGUCUGCACAUGGCGGUGUGGAGGAGAAUAUGGGCUCAAAACUUAGGAGGUUGAUCGCCCAGUGUGAUGUCUGUCUGCCUAUCCGUCCCAAGGGCUGGACAACAAAACUCUGGAAAUGGAGCAGAAUUUGUUGUGCAGGAAAUAAAGGUAGUGUGGAAAUUAAAUCAUUCAGUUCACUUAAGCCAAUAAUUGCAGUUUAUUCAUUCAGUGCCCCAUAUUAGAGAA